rnacentral:rRNA from 1 species
UGCUGGUCCCUGUAUGGGGGGCAUGUGCACGCUCUGUUUACACAUCCACUCACACCUGUGCACCCUCUGUAGUUCUAUGGCCUGGGGGGCUCUGUCCUCCUGCUGUGGUCCUACGUCUUUACACACACACCGUAGCAAAGUCUCAUGGAAUGUAUGUCGCGUUUAACGCAAUGAAAUACAACUCUCAGCAACGGAUCUCUUGGCUCUCGCAUCGAUGAAGAACGCAGCGAAAUGCGAUAAGUAAUGUGAAUUGCAGAAUUCAGUGAAUCAUCGAAUCUUUGAACGCACCUUGCGCCCUUUGGCUAUUCCGAAGGGCAUGCCUGUUUGAGUAUCAUGAACACCUCAACUCUCAUGGCUUGCCCAUGAUGAGCUUGGACUUUGGGGGUCUUGCUGGCCUGUGGGCCGGCUCCUCUCAAAUGAAUUAGCUUGCCAGUGUUUGGUGGGCAUCACAGGUGUGAUAACUAUCUACGCUUGUGGUCUUCCGCCAGGUAAUCUUCAGCAAUGAAGGUUCGCUGGAGCUCAUAAACGUCUCUCCUUGGUGGGGACAGAUUUGACCAUUUGAUCUCAAAUCAGGUAGGACUACCCGCUGAACUUAAGCAUAUCAAUAAGCGGAGGAAAAGAAACUAACAAGGAUUCCCCUAGUAACUGCGAGUGAAGCGGGAAGAGCUCAAAUUUAAAAUCUGGCGUGCCUCUGGCCGUCCGAGUUGUAGUCUGGAGAAGCGUUUUCCGUGUUGGACCGUGUAUAAGUCUCUUGGAACAGGGCGUCAUAGAGGGUGAGAAUCCCGUCUUUGACAC